UACGUAGGGGGCAAGCGUUGUCCGGAAUCAUUGGGCGUAAAGAGCGUGUAGGCGGCCAGAUAAGUCCGCUGUGAAAUCUCGAGGCUCAACUUCGAGCUGUCGGUGGAAACUGUCUGGCUAGAGUCCGGAAGAGGAGAGUGGAAUUCCUGGUGUAGCGGUGAAAUGCGUAGAUAUCGUAAGGAAGACCAGUGGCGAAGGCGGGUCUCUGGACAGUUCCUGACACUGAGGCACGAAGGCCAGGGGAGCAAACGGG
rnacentral:rRNA from 1 species